GAGAUAGCUCAGUUGACAGAGCAUGAGGCCCUCAAUCUCAGGGUCGUGGGUUCAAGCCCUACGUUGGGCA